CCACUGCAAGUAGGAUGUUGAUAUUAAAACCACCCCAGCCUCUGCAUAGGUCUGUAGGAUGACAAUGAAGAGAAAUUUAUCAUCUCAUAAUAUAAAGAAUUGUCGAUGCAGUUAAAGAAUCUAUAUUAAUGGCUGGCAAACACAGUUCGGAAGCUACAACACUUCAAUGAAACGACAAUUUUAAACUCAACCCUGCAGACAGUUUACUUGAAGGUGAAUGAAUAAGCAACACGAAAGAUCCUCAAAAAUGUUUGGUACAACUAUAGCAUGUUCACAACAAUGAAAAUUAGUAUACUUCUAGAACAUUUGUAAGGACUAUUGUUUUAGUAGAACAAUUAUGAGUCUCUUAAUACAGAAUAUCAAAUAGGAAGAUGGAUGACAAUUAUAUAAAUGAAUAAGAAACUCAAAAAGAAAAUACAACAAUUAGCCAGAAAAUACAAAACUGCAGAUACACACAGUGAACAACACAAUUAUGAAAUUCAUUAUCGUUGAUACCAAACUGUUCUUAUAAGAUAAGUUUUUUUUAUGUAUGUUCUCGGCAUCUCAUGUUACAAACACAUAUUCUCUUUUACCAAGAAACAUAUUUAAAAAAACGCUAUGUCAGCCUCAACCCAUGUGGAAUUUAGAAUGUAAACUACACAAAGAGAUUUUAUUAUUACCAGUUAGAUCUAUUUUCAAAGAAAAAAUAUAUUUUACAAAUCCCAUUGUAUAUGAAAGCCAUUAUACAAGACAAACCUUGCAUACAUUAGUAGUGUACAAGAUGGUUUAUGUAUUAUUCCACCCGUUAAAAUAUGAUAAAUAAAUUACAUUAAGUUUACAUGUGUUUCCUUGUCAUUUACUGCUAUUAAUGGUAAUUGUUAUCAAUUCUGGCCAUCAGUUAUGGUUUUUAAUGUUAACGAUAUCCAAACUGUGGUGUUUUAUUUCUAGUCUCCCUCUUAGUAUAAUUUAUUACUUUACGUGAAAAAGAUAUUUUUCUGUAUAAUGGUAUCAUAUUUCAAUACUGCUCAGUUCUAAUUAUCGUUCAAUAUCGCUAUUCAAUGAAAGCUAUUAGGAAUCAAGAACGGCAAAUUAAUCACCUAAAAACCGAGAUAAAUCACAGAUUCAAAUGAUUGGCCUACACAAAAUGGCUACCAGAGCGACUCUAAACGUAGUCACUUCACAAUUAAAAUUAAUUGAAUGUUUAGUUGAAAGAAAAACAAACAAAGAUUUACUAACUUGAUAAGGCUUGUUUCUUGUUUUUGUAGGUAACGUCUUGCUUCCGAAUAGUACACCAUUCGGAAUCCUUAAACGGAUGAAGUGAAUGACGAUAAAGGACCAAUGUCAGACUAAGUGAUUGAUGAGAAUAUGAUUUGAUUAAUUCAAAGAAAAGUGUGUUUCUUGUAGAACGUUGAACAUUUGUUGACUUUUUGCUGUUAAAAUCAGCAUACCUCGCUGUUAACUGAGCAGGUGUGAGAUUUUAUUUUUGUGAAGUAUUUUUCACAUUUGACCUUAUUCCGUUUACCAGUAAACUGGCUAAAGUGAUUUCGAUAACUUUUUUCUUCUGCUCGUGAUGUUUAACGAUAAUUUAAUGAUUGAAUUAAAUGAGCCAGUUUUGAAACAUGUGAGAAAGAUAGAUGACUUUAUUAUUGCUAAUCAAUGGGAUUUUAGUGAGUUUUAAAUGAUAAUAUUAAACCAAAUGAUUGCAGAAAGAACACGUUUAAUGGAUGAAACCUAUCUGUCUCAAAUAUGAAUUUAUAUAUAUUUUGAAACCAAUAACUGGGUUUUAUUCACAAGCAAGAUUUAUAUAUCCAGGUUCGUACCUUGUGGGCAUGAUAAUGAACCCUCAUUUUUUAAUUCUGUUUUUGUUGUUCAUUGUCAUUUAUUGUUAGGUUCACUAUUCAAAGAUCGUCAACAUUCGAUUAAAGAAAAUAUUCAAAAUAUCCUAUAUUUGUCAAAAAAAAUAAAGUAAAAUGAGAAAACUAUUCAUCAUACUAAAAUUUUACAUUUAUAGGUCUUUAUUUGUGUGUGCUGAUUUAGCAUAUGCGAUUUACGUUUGUAGAAAUCCUGCAUUAUUGUAAUGAUACUGAUAACGUAAACAUCAAACCAGAGCAAACCAACAACUUGUACUCAGGGACAAGGGGAGUAAUUGUUUACCAAAACGUUUUAUCUAAAUAUGUAAAUUGCUUAAAUGUUACAAGCAGAUAUUAAAUAAGUAUACUUGUGCUUUGUGUUGAAGGAUUAUAAAAGCAUCACAAUUAGAAUGAAACAUACUAAGGAAUACGACAGUUGUUUUCCAUUUGUUUGAUGUGUUUGAGCUUUUGAUUUUCCAUUAAAUAAGAAGGGACUUUCCGUUUUGAAUUUUCCUUGGAGUUCGGUACUUUUGUUAUUUAACUUUUUAUAUAUUUGAAAAUGCAAGUAGUAUUAGUAGACGAAAAGAAAUAUCUUUGUGUAUCUACAAUUAUAAGCCCGGACAGAUUGGAAAUACAUUCAUUAUCGAAAGCUUUUCCUACAUAUUUAUAAUUUGUGAACAAAUAAGGUUUACUUUAAGAAUAUAAAAACCAGUACAGUAACACGUGCAAAAUGGCAAUAAAGUCCUGUCAAGUUAGAACUUCAUUAUGAUUCCUUCAUUAUAAUUUCUAAGUGGUAAAAAUAGCGCAAAUACAAGAAUAAUACUUUGCCCCCAAAAAGGCUUUGAAUGAUGAAGAGUUAUAAAAGAACUGUAACGUCAGAAAAUAUUGUAAAGGUUUAAAACAUAGGCAGAAUAUAAAUAACGUAAAAAUACACUCCACAAACAAUAAUCAGAACUAAACAAAAACAUCCAACAAUCUUACUAAAAAAAAAGACUUUAAAAAAACAAUUAAAUAUGAUAAAGAAAUGCCAAAAACAUAUGCCCCAAAAACAAUAACAAAUAAGAAAAAUAUUCAAAAAAGCCAAAUCAUUCCCAUCCAAUAUAAACCAAAGGACGACAGAAAUAAAUUCAAAACCAUACGGUCAUUGGAGAAAAAUUAUCAUUAUAGAUAGAGCGCUCUUUACACAGUUUGUCCAUUAUUCCUGAGAGUAAAAGGAGAUGUGUUGUAUAUAUUUACUUUGACAGCAGCAUAAAUGUUUGGUUGUAUUUAUCUAUAGUCUUUUAUUGUUAUGCCUAUGUGUAUGCAUGUGGGACCUUAUUUUGUGUAAUAAAUAUUAAAAAUUUUAA